rnacentral:rRNA from 1 species
GGGGGGGGGGGGGGGGGGGGGGAGGGGGGGGGGGGCGAGCGGAAAGGCCGUGCUGGGGUGGGGUGCUCGAGUGGCGAACGGGUGGGUAACACGUGAGUAACCUGCCCUUGACGUUGGGAUAACUUCAGGGAACGGGGGCUAAUACCGGAUAGGAGCUCCUGCUGCAUGGUGGGGGUUGGAAAGUUUCGGCGGUUGGGGAUGGACUCGCGGCUUAUCAGCUUGUUGGUGGGGUAGUGGCUUACCAAGGCUUUGACGGGUAGCCGGCCUGAGAGGGUGACCGGCCACAUUGGGACUGAGAUACGGCCCAGACUCCUACGGGAGGCAGCAGUGGGGAAUAUUGCACAAUGGGCGGAAGCCUGAUGCAGCAACGCCGCGUGCGGGAUGACGGCCUUCGGGUUGUAAACCGCUUUCGCCUGUGACGAAGCGUGAGUGACGGUAAUGGGUAAAGAAGCACCGGCUAACUACGUG